CCCCUCCCCCUCCCCCCUCCCUGCACGUGCCUUUACCACAGAGCAAUGAUCAAGCUUAAAGGCAAAGUCAGUGAGUGACUUUGGUCUGUCAAAGUGACUAAAAGAGGCCGUGAGAAGAUCAAUCAUGCCACCACCAAAGGAUGCAGAGAUCGAGCAGGUUGCAAAGGUUUGGCUUUGGAAUUCACGGGACCGUUCAGGUGGACGGAAGCAUCGUCUCAUGCAGUCUCUUCAAAAAAAUAGUUAAUUUAUGAUCUAUGCUAUAUUAAUGCAUAAACAAUAUUCAUUUUUGAUAUUAUGAUUAACUAUAUCUGUUCUAUUUAUGUAAAAUACAUGUGUCUAUUUUCUCCUUCCUUAUUAUUGCUGUGAGAUAAAAAACUUAAUGCAAAAACUAAUGUUAUAUUCAAUUAGAAUUUUUUUUUACUGGUUUGAUUGGGAUGACAUUUUGGUUCCAAGUCUACAAGCAAGAGGAAUAAAAUUAAUAAUAGAGAUCAGGGGUGGGUUUCCUGAAAGCUUCGUAACGCUAAGAACUUUGUUAACUCGUACUUAAGAUUGAUCGUUAAUUAAAGAGUGUUUCCCAAACCCGUGCGUAACUAAAGUACUACGUAAACUCGCUCGCAGAUUAACGAGUGCCCUCACCCAGUCGUUAUUCUUAACGAGCUUCUUUAAGGGAUCUCUACUUGCAGUUCAGCACCUUAAACACCAGGGACCGCCAAUUUUGAGGGAGAAAAAUGAUAAUUUCCCUUGUUGAAGCAAUUAUAUUUUGUUACU